AGCGAACGCUGGUGGCAGGCCUAACACAUGCAAGUCGAACGAACUCUUCGGAGUUAGUGGCGGACGGGUGAGUAACACGUGGGAACGUGCCUUUUGGUUCGGAAUAACUCAGGGAAACUUGUGCUAAUACCGAAUGUGCCCUUCGGGGGAAAGAUUUAUCGCCAUUAGAGCGGCCCGCGUCUGAUUAGCUAGUUGGUGAGGUAACGGCUCACCAAGGCGACGAUCAGUAGCUGGUCUGAGAGGAUGUCCAGCCACACUGGGACUGAGACACGGCCCAGACUCCUACGGGAGGCAGCAGUGGGGAAUCUUGCGCAAUGGGCGAAAGCCUGACGCAGCCAUGCCGCGUGAAUGAUGAAGGUCUUAGGAUUGUAAAAUUCUUUCACCGGGGACGAUAAUGACGGUACCCGGAGAAGAAGCCCCGGCUAACUUCGUG
rnacentral:rRNA from 1 species